rnacentral:rRNA from 1 species
GUGGGGAAUUUUGGACAAUGGGCGAAAGCCUGAUCCAGCAAUGCCGCGUGCAGGAUGAAGGCCCUCGGGUUGUAAACUGCUUUUGUACGGAACGAAAAGCCUGGGGCUAAUAUCCUCGGGUCAUGACGGUACCGUAAGAAUAAGCACCGGCUAACUACGUGCCAGCAGCCGCGGUAAUACGUAGGGUGCAAGCGUUAAUCGGAAUUACUGGGCGUAAAGCGUGCGCAGGCGGUUUUGUAAGACAGUGGUGAAAUCCCCGGGCUCAACCUGGGAACUGCCAUUGUGACUGCAAGGCUAGAGUGCGGCAGAGGGGGAUGGAAUUCCGCGUGUAGCAGUGAAAUGCGUAGAUAUGCGGAGGAACACCGAUGGCGAAGGCAAUCCCCUGGGCCUGCACUGACGCUCAUGCACGAAAGCGUGGGGAGCAAACAGGAUUAGAAACCCGUGUAGUCC